rnacentral:rRNA from 1 species
UACAGGGGGUGCAAACGUUGCUCGGAAUCAUUGGGCGUAAAGCGCACGUAGGCGGUCUGUUAUGUCGGAUGUGAAGGCCCUUGGCUCAACUGAGGAAGUGCAUCCGAAACUGGCAGGCUAGAGUACUAAAGAGGGUCGCGGAAUUCCCGGUGUAGAGGUGAAAUUCGUAGAUAUCGGGAGGAACACCGGUGGCGAAGGCGGCGACCUGGGUAGAUACUGACGCUGAGGUGCGAAAGCGUGGGGAGCAAACAGG